rnacentral:rRNA from 1 species
GGCUCACCUAGGCGACGAUCCGUAACUGGUCUGAGAGGAUGAUCAGUCACACUGGAACUGAGACACGGUCCAGACUCCUACGGGAGGCAGCAGUGGGGAAUAUUGGACAAUGGGCGAAAGCCUGAUCCAGCCAUGCCGCGUGUGUGAAGAAGGUCUUCGGAUUGUAAAGCACUUUAAGUUGGGAGGAAGGGCAGUAAGUUAAUACCUUGCUGUUUUGACGUUACCAACAGAAUAAGCACCGGCUAACUUCGUGCCAGCAGCCGCGGUAAUACGAAGGGUGCAAGCGUUAAUCGGAAUUACUGGGCGUAAAGCGCGCGUAGGUGGUUCAGCAAGUUGGAGGUGAAAUCCCCGGGCUCAACCUGGGAACUGCCUCCAAAACUACUGAGCUAGAGUACGGUAGAGGGUAGUGGAAUUUCCUGUGUAGCGGUGAAAUGNCGUAGNANNUAUNAGGAAGGAACACCAGUGGCGAAGGCGACUACCUGGACUGAUACUGACACUGAGGUGCGAAAGCAUGGGGAGCAAUCAGGAUUAGAUACCCUGGUAGUCCACGCCGUAAACGAUGUCGACUAGCCGUUGGGAUCCUUGAGAUCUUAGUGGCGCAGCUAACGCAUUAAGUCGACCGCCUGGGGAGUNACNCNUCNCGCAAGGUUAAAACUCAAAUGAAUUGACGGGGGCCCGCACAAGCGGUGGAGCAUGUGGUUUAAUUCGAAGCAACGCGAAGAACCUUACCUGGCCUUGACAUGCUGAGAACUUUCCAGAGAUGGAUUGGUGCCUUCGGGAACUCAGACACAGGUGCUGCAUGGCUGUCGUCAGCUCGUGUCGUGAGAUGGUAGAGUUAAGUCCCGUAACGAGCGCAACCCUUGUCCUUAGUUACCAGCACCUCGGGUGGGCACUCUAAGGAGACUGCCGGUGACAAACCGGAGGAAGGUGGGGAUGACGGGCGAGUCAUCAUGGCCCUUACGGCCAGGGCUACACACGUGCUACAAUGGUCGGUAAAAAGGGUUGCCAAGCCGCGAGGUGGAGCUAAUCCCAU